AACAACAACAUCAUCACCGAUUACGUUACUCAGAUUCUGUAGGCAAAACCAGUUAAAGACAGUUCAAACCACAUCCAUUAUGACAGAAAUCAUGUAGCAGCCAAAAUAUGCCUAAAUGUUCAUUUCUUCAAACGUGAAAGAUUUCUCAGCAGCAGAUACAGCAACGGCACGUUCAGGCACAACAGCAACAGUAUGCAAUGCUGCUCCAAGCACGUAAGCACCGUAAGCAGGAGGAACCGCUAUUCAGUCAGUGCAGCAGCUGCAGCAAGAUCGAAUUGGCCACAAAUCGUUCAACAGCAGUAAGAAGACAAACGGUCAACCACAAACACAACAGCAAGGUGCUCGGAAGGGAUUUUUUGUGUUUCAGUUAAAUCGUAGCCAGACAAAAAUGCAUCUUUGUCAAAUCACAAUCUUGUUUUCUGCCAGUUCCUUAGCUGUAUUAACACCGAUAAUUCAACCAUCCCAAGCGAAACAGCCACUAUGUCAGCGCCAAUCACCAAUAUUUCACAGCAGCAGAAAAUUGAAACUUCACCAUCCGACCGGUCGGUAGUAAUGCCGUUCUAACGACGGUUCUGCCACAGGUUUUGACGUUAACUCAACAACCGCAACUAGAUGACCAUUGGUUAACAGAAGCAGCAACAACCACAAACUAGAAUUAUCAUCACCCAGAUUUCGCAGCAGCAGAUACAGCAACGGUACUUUCAGGCACAACUGAAACAGUGUACAAUACAGUUCCAAAAAGCAGAAGCAUCGCAAGCAAGAGGAACCACUGUAGCAGCCGAAGCAAGCUG